rnacentral:misc_RNA from 1 species
AAUUCUCAACCACAUCUUUGUUUUUACAUAUGGUCGUGGAUUGGAUGUUGGGGGUAUACCUGCGGGCCUCAGCUAUAGAGGUCGGCUCCCCUAAAAUGCAUUAGCGGAACCGUUUGCGGUCAGUCACUGGUGUGAUAAUUAUCUACGCCAAAGACAAAGGCUGCUCUCUCAGUGUUCAGCUUCUAAUUGUCUGUCUAUGGACAACUCUUGAAU